rnacentral:rRNA from 1 species
UAGGGAAUCUUCGGCAAUGGGGGCAACCCUGACCGAGCAACGCCGCGUGAGUGAAGAAGGUUUUCGGAUCGUAAAGCNCUGUUGUAAGUCAAGAACGGGUGUGAGAGUGGAAAGUUCACACUGUGACGGUAGCUUACCAGAAAGGGACGGCUAACUACGUGCCAGCAGCCGCGGUAAUACGUAGGUCCCCGAGCGUUGUCCGGAUUUAUUGGGCGUAAAGCGAGCGCAGGCGGUUUGAUAAGUCUGAAGU